rnacentral:rRNA from 1 species
UUACGGCGACUAUUUCCCAGGUGAUCACCUCUUCCCAUUCCGAACAGAGUAGUUAAGCCCUGGAGAGCCGAUGGUACUGCUUCACGCGGGAGAGUAGGUCGUCGCCGAUUUUUUUGUGAA